AACAUAUUUUUGAAUAAUUUUUUUGAAAGUUUGUUUAAAAUAUUAUACAAACAUGUACAACUCCGAACUGCAAUCAGGAAAAUUGCUUUUUAGUUCCCAUGUUGCUCUUAAACCCCUCAAAAAUCCCAAAAUACUCCUAAUUUUGGACCCAAUUUAUUUUGGUUCUUACAAUCCGAAAAGUCAAAAAUUGCAUAUUCUAGGAUCCGAACACGUUUCAGUUCGUUUCGUAAGUACCGAAGUAGUAUCCUAUGGCUACAACACGCGGUCGAAAAUGGCAAAAACCAAGAAAACACAUGGUUUCGUAAAUUAAGACCCGUACUUGCUUUGUUUCGUAUUGUACCUUGCAAAAAUGUUGUUUUUCGUUUUUUAGGAACCGAAGUGGUGCGUUCAUUAUACCAGUGAAAACCACUUCAUCACUUUGAAGAAAUUUGAAUUUUAGGGCUGUGAAGGACGAUUUUUAGGGUUUCAAUCGCAAACAAAAACGGCUAACAAGGGUUUCAUUCAUUCCCUUCUAUUCGUCUCACUAAAUCGCUACAAGAAAAAAGGUUUUGGGUUGAAAAUUUCUGUCUGAAUCUUUCACUCAUACAAGCUUCAUUUGAAUGAGCUUGGAUAUUCAUUUUUCCCUUUCAAGUAGCAUAAGUGACAAAAGAGAAGCAAUUUCUAGUGAGAAUAGGAAAUACAAUAUGCUUCUAGUGCCCCUCACAAAAUGAAUUCUCCGAGUGGAGACGCUGAUGAAGAUUGAAGAUAGAAGAUAAAAGAGAUGAAGAUGUGAAGAGAGUAAAUUUAAAAACUUAGUAGACAUGAUAUGAUUUGUUUUUUCUUUUGUAGCUUUUGAUAUUGUUAUGAACUUGUAUAUUUUUAAAUACAUUAUGAUGUUCUUAGGUUCAUAUUUUUCACUAUUUGUAGUUUGACAUGCUUGUAAGACUUGUUCCUUUUUCAAUAUAAUUGUGGUUUUCUUUUA